rnacentral:rRNA from 1 species
CCCUAGUAACUGCGAGUGAAGCGGGAAAAGCUCAAAUUUAAAAUCUGGUGGUCUUUGGCCAUCCGAGUUGUAAUUUAGAGAAGCAUCUUCCGCGCUGGACCGUGCACAAGUCUCCUGGAAUGGAGCGUCGUAGAGGGUGAGAAUCCCGUCUUUGGCAUGGACACACCAGGGCUUUUGUGAUGUGCUCUCGAAGAGUCGA